rnacentral:lncRNA from 1 species
GAAAAACAAAGAUUCUUAAAUGGCUGGCUUUAUAUUGUAUUAUACAAAAGAUAGGUCACAAAUUACUCCUGCUUUAUUUUAUCUAAAUAGUAUUAUUUUCUGAAAAUCUGAUAUCUACCUGAAUGAUUGAAAACAGUAAUGCAAACAAACAUACAGAAUCAUUUAUGAAGUCUCAUACAAUCUCACCCUCUGCAAUUAUGUGCUACUUUUCUAAAGAUGCUACUAAAAAGAACUGACUUGCUAUUCUGGAUAUCAAAGCUAUCUAUAUUUAUUUAUAUCCUCAUCAAAUCUCUCAGAAAAUAACUUACUUCUUGGGGUGCCUAAGUGAUUUUAUUUUACAGUUACCAACAGAGCUAAAAAUGGAUUUUCUGCAUUGAUAUGGUUGCUUAAAAUUCCCAAGUUAGUAUGCUGACUGUUAUUUACUUCAAAUGUUUUACAACAACAAAAG